rnacentral:rRNA from 1 species
AACGAACGCUGGCGGCAGGCCUAACACAUGCAAGUCGAGCGCCCCCGCAAGGGGGAGCGGCGGACGGGUGAGUAACGCGUGGGAAUUUUCCUCAAGGUACGGAACAACUCAGGGAAACUUGGGCUAAUACCGUAUGAUGUCUAGCGACCAAAGAUUUAUCGCCUUGGGAUAAGCCCGCGUCAGAUUAGGUAGUGGGUGGGGUAACGGCCUACCAAGCCUGCGAUCUGUAGCUGGUCUGAGAGGACGAUCAGCCACACUGGGACUGAGACACGGCCCAGACUCCUACGGGUGGCAGCAGUGGGGAAUCUUGCGCAAUGGGCGAAAGCCUGACGCAGCCAUGCCGCGUGAAUGAUGAAGGUCUUAGGAUUGUAAAGUUCUUUCGCCCGUGACGAUGAUGACGGUAACGGGAGAAGAAGCCCCGGCUAAUUUCGUGCCAGCAGCCGCGGUAAUACGAAGGGGGCUAGCGUUGUUCGGAAUUACUGGGCGUAAAGCGCGCGUAGGCGGUUUUGCAAGCCAGAGGUGAAAUGCCUGAGCUCAACUUAGGAAUUGCCUUUGGGACUGCGAGGCUUUGAGGACUGGAGAGGUGAGUGGAAUUCCCAGUGUAGAGGUGAAAUUCGUAGAUAUUGGGAAGAACACCAGUGGCGAAGGCGGCUCACUGGCCAGUUUCUGACGCUGCAGCGCGAAAGCGUGGG